GUGGCCUUAGCUCAAUGGCAGAGCAUCGGAUUGUGGCUCCGAAGGUUACGGGUUCGAGCCCCGUAGGCCACCCCA
rnacentral:tRNA from 2 species